rnacentral:rRNA from 1 species
AUUGAACGCUGGCGGCAGGCUUAACACAUGCAAGUCGAGCGGGGUGAUGGUGCUUGCACUAUCACUUAGCGGCGGACGGGUGAGUAAUGCUUAGGAAUCUGCCUAUUAGUGGGGGACAACAUCUCGAAAGGGAUGCUAAUACCGCAUACGUCCUACGGGAGAAAGCAGGGGAUCACUUGUGACCUUGCGCUAAUAGAUGAGCCUAAGUCGGAUUGGCUAGUUGGUGGGGUAAAGGCCUACCAAGGCGACGAUCUGUAGCGGGUCUGAGAGGAGGAGCCGCCACACUGGGACUGAGACACGGCCCAGACUCCUACGGGAGGCAGCAGUGGGGAAUAUUGGACAGUGGGGGGAACCCUGAUCCAGCCAUGCCGCGUGUGUGAAGAAGGCCUUAUGGUUGUAAAGCACUUUAAGCGAGGAGGAGGCUCUUUUGGUUAAUACCCAAGAUGAGUGGACGUUACUCGCAGAAUAAGCACCGGCUAACUCUGUGCCAGCCGCCGCGGUAA